rnacentral:rRNA from 1 species
UACGUAGGGUGCAAGCGUUGUCCGGAAUUAUUGGGCGUAAAGAGCUCGUAGGCGGUCUGUCGCGUCUGCUGUGAAAACUCAGGGCUUAACCCUGAGCUUGCAGUGGGGUACGGGCAGACUAGAGUGCGGUAGGGGAGACUGGAAUUCCUGGUGUAGCGGUGAAAUGCGCAGAUAUCAGGAGGAACACCGAUGGCGAAGGCGGUUCUCUGGGCCGAUACUGACGCUGGGAGGAGCGAAAGCCGUGGGGGGGCGAACAGG